rnacentral:lncRNA from 1 species
GUUCCCUUUAUAAUCAGCAGAGAGGAACCACAUUCUCUGCUCAUGGGAUCAGGGGCUCCAGUUAAGUUUAGACCUAGGCAUUCAGCCUUGACUCAGCCUUAAUCUGAAUUAUGUUGUAGGAAUAUUUGUCCUAGGCUUAGUCUUAGCUGUGUCUGAUCAUAGACCCUAUUGAUCCAAGCUCUGACCAAUGGGCUGACCUCUCAGCUUGGCCUUGAAUCUACUUUGUGACUGAGGACUUGUGUGAUAAUCAUAGGACUAUGUCUGGCUACUGCUGCUAGACUUGAUUGUGAUCUGCAUGUUGACUUCCUGGCUUAACUUCUGUCCUGCCUCAUCACUGGGAACUUGCCUGAUGAUCUGGACUUUUGUAUGAAUGUGGAUGCUACCUCUGGAUCUUUGGAGUUGUAGGACAAGAUCUUGGCCUCUCAUGCUGUUGCAUGACAGCUGUCUACUACAACCUGGAACAGGACCAGCUCCAGCUUUUCACAAAGACUGCCAAACCCCCAUAAGAAGGCAAAACCUCAUCGGGAGGGAGGAAGAAUGACAGAAAUCUUUAUAGGUGAAGGAAACAGAAGUUAUCCCAUGCCACUGGAUAAUGCUAAAAACAAAGUUGUGAAACAGCCUGAA